ensembl:snoRNA
UACCAGAAUGUUGAGGUCUAGUUCAGGGAUGCUUCUCUGUUUCGGUUACUAAACUUUCGGACAUUAGAAAUGAACUGAGGUAUAUGAUUGGGUAUAUGGUAUUUCUCUAUUCAUUUUCUCCUAGACUACAAAA